ACACCAAGCCAAGUCAAACUAAACUUGUUGAACAGAACAAAGAAGAAAGAUCGGGGGUCAAAGUGUAAAUUCUGGAAAUCAGGAAGUUAGUUAUUAACACUUCCUAAAGUUAGUUAAGGAGGCAGUUAGGUUCACAGAUUAGUGAACUGAUUAUAGGUUAGAUUAGAGGGAUUAGUUAAGAAGAUAAAAUCCUCUCUUUAAAACUACCUUCUUCCUUCUAUUCUUGUGUUCUUCAAUAUUGAAUAUUAUUCUUCUCUUCAUUCUUCCUAAAUCACAAACUUCUUCAUGGUAUCAGAGCAGUGAGUAAUAACUCAAGUAUAUCCUCAAGAAUAUUGUGUAUAUCAAGUUUUUCAAAUUGGUUAACUCAAUAUGACUGGUGUGAAUGGAAUUAGUUCAACACCCGAACAAGUUAAUGGAAUCCCUCGAACUGAAAAUGUGAACAAC